rnacentral:rRNA from 1 species
UACGGGGGGGGCAAGCGUUGUUCGGAAUUACUGGGCGUAAAGGGCUCGUAGGCGGCCAACUAAGUCAGACGUGAAAUCCCUCGGCUUAACCGGGGAACUGCCUCUGAUACUGGAUGGCUUGAGAUUGGGAGAGGGAUGCGGAAUUCCAGGUGUAGCGGUGAAAUGCGUAGAUAUCUGGAGGAACACCGGUGGCGAAGGCGGCACCCUGGACCAACACUGACGCUGAGGAGCGAAAGCCAGGGGAGCAAACGGG